CCUAGAAAAAGAAAUAAAGAAAUAGAAACACUUAAAAACAUUCCCCAAGUCGUCAUUUAGGAACUAGGGUUUACUCCCCGUCUCUCAACGUUUCUCUCAAAAUCCCCAAACCCUCAUCACUUUGACAAUCAGUUCUAGUAUUUCAUCUAAAUCUGUUCUUGAUUUUAUUGUUCAAAAUGACGAUUUCCAUCAUCAAUCUGUUCACGACUAUUCUACAGAUUAUUCAAUUUUGCUAAGUUAUUUUGGAUAAUUUUUUCCAUCACCAACUGAAGUCGGAUCUGUGCGAUUGAGUUGGCAUAUUGUGAUUCAACAAGUUAUUUUUAUGGCGAGGCCAUAUCUCUGAGCCGUUUUGUGAAGAAGAGCUCACGUGUUAUUCAUUUCAGCUUCCGCAGUGAGAUGGGAAGGAGUUGUUUCAUUGUGGUCCGAGGUGCUUCCAGGAGUAUUAGCUUGAAAUUCAUUUGAUUAUCUUUACGACUUGCUUAAGAGAUGAAGUGUUCCAAUCAUCGGUACAAUUUACUUUUGGACUGAAACUCAACCUUACACUCUAUAUCAUGUUAUAACCAUUUAGUUGAAACUUUAGUCUUCUAUUCUCUGCAUCUCCGUGUCAGACGUCACUCUGAAGUUCGCAUGUAUCUUCAUGAUAUAAUUUUAUAACAAUUUGGGAUACAUUUCUUAGGUUCUCAAAUAUGAUUUUAUUUUUGUUGUAACACUGCAACGUUUCAUGUAGUAUAUCUCAAACACUCAUCUGGUUAUGUACUCUUUUUACUUUUAUGAACAAUUUAUACCCUCUGAUAUGGGAUUAUCAACAAAUAGAGUAUUCCCGACAAGGCGUGCAUACCCAAAGCCAUUUCCUCUUUAUCUCUCACUUUUGUGUUUAGCAGCAAUAUCAAAGCUCACUGUGUGAAAGCCGUAUGCGGAAAAAGGAGUAAGUUCAGUAGUUGAAAACAAUGCCAUUUGAAGUUAGCACAACUUGAGCUGAAACUUGAGAGAGUUAGACAGCAGGUUGCGUGGCACUUACAACUUGAGGUGUAAUAUGGUCUUGAAGACUUCAGUUUACAAGUGAAGAUGUAGAUUUUGGAGAAUUCAAGUUGACAAGCUAAUUAUUAUUUGCCCAGAACUAUAGACAACAAUUUAUUUUAUUUGCAAAUGAUGUUAAUUUGUUUUCUUCCCAAAGGGUGUGUAAAUGAUACAGUACAAAUGGAAUGUUAAUCCUUUCUUUUGUUAUUUUACAAAUAUAUAUAUGAACACAUUAUUGAUAA